CUUGUUAAACAUCAGGCAAUCCACACUGGACAGAGACCCCAUAAGUGCUUGGACUGUGGGAAAAGUUUUAUACGGAGGUCAUAUCUUUUAAAACAUCAGGCAGUCCACACAGGAGAGAGACCCCAUAAGUGCUUAGACUGUGGAAAAAGUUUCAUACAGAGGUCAGACCUUGUUAAACAUCAG